rnacentral:rRNA from 1 species
UACGAAGGGGGCUAGCGUUGCUCGGAAUCACUGGGCGUAAAGCGCACGUAGGCGGAUUGUUAAGUCAGGGGUGAAAUCCUGGAGCUCAACUCCAGAACUGCCUUUGAUACUGAAGAUCUUGAGUCCGGGAGAGGUGAGUGGAACUGCGAGUGUAGAGGUGAAAUUCGUAGAUAUUCGCAAGAACACCAGUGGCGAAGGCGGCUCACUGGCCCGGUACUGACGCUGAGGCACGAAGGCCAGGGGAGCAAACGGG